CUCUUAGGAUUGUAAAAUUCUUUCGCGGGGAAGAAAAUGAGGGGACCCGAUGAAGAGGCCCCGGGUAGCUUCCUGCCAGCAGCCGCGGGAAUACUUAGGGGCCUAGCGCUGGUCGGAAUUACUGGGGGUAAAGGGCGCGUAGAUUUAUGGUUAAGAAAGAGGGGAAAUCCCAGGUCUCAACCCUGGAACUGCCUUUGAUACUGCCGAUGUUGAGUAUGAUAGAGGUAUGUGAAACUCCGAGGGUAAAGGGGAAAUUGGAAUAUCUUGGGAAGAACACCAGUGGCGAAGGAUACAUACUGGCUCAUUACUGACGCUGAGGCGCGAAAGCGGGGGGAGCAAACAGGAUUAGAUACCCUGGUAGGCCACGCCGUAAACAAUCCUUGCUAGUCGUCGCCCUGCAUGCAGUUCGGGGACGCAGCUAGCGCAUUAGCCCUUCCGCCUGGGGAGUACGGUUGCAAGAUUACGACUGGGAGGAAUUGACGGGGGCCCGCACAAGCGGGGGAGCAUGUGGUUUCCCUCGAAGCAACGCGCACAAGCUUAUCACCUUUUGACAUGCCUGGACCGCUCACGGAGACUUGGCUUUCCCUUCGGGGACUAGAACACACGUGC
rnacentral:rRNA from 1 species